rnacentral:piRNA from 1 species
UCCUCUGGUGUGUCUCAGAAUAACCACAGG